rnacentral:rRNA from 1 species
UGUGCUCUUCCGAUCUUAAUUGGGCGUUAAGUUGCAGGGUAUAGACCCGAAACCCGGUGAUCUAGCCAUGGGCAGGUUGAAGGUUGGGUAACACUAACUGGAGGACCGAACCGACUAAUGUUGAAAAAUUAGCGGAUGACCUGUGGCUGGGGGUGAAAGGCCAAUCAAACCGGGAGAUAGCUGGUUCUCCCCGAAAGCUAUUUAGGUAGCGCCUCGUGAAUUCAUCUCCGGGGGUAGAGCACUGUUUCGGCUAGGGGGCCAUCCCGGCUUACCAACCCGAUGCAAACUGCGAAUACCGGAGAAUGUUAUCACGGGAGACACACGGCGGGUGCUAACGUCCGUCGUGAAGAGGGAAACAACCCAGACCGCCAGCUAAGGUCCCAAAGUCAUGGUUAAGUGGGAAACGAUGUGGGAAGGCCCAGACAGCCAGGAUGUUGGCUUAGAAGCAGCCAUCAUUUAAAGAAAGCGUAAUAGCUCACUGGUCGAGUCGGCCUGCGCGGAAGAUGUAACGGGGCUAAACCAUGCACCGAAGCUGCGGCAGCGACGCUGAUGCGUUGUUGGGUAGGGGAGCGUUCUGUAAGCCUGCGAAGGUGGCCUGUGAGGGUUGCUGGAGGUAUCAGAAGUGCGAAUGCUGACAUAAGUAACGAUAAAGCGGGUGAAAAGCCCGCUCGCCGGAAGACCAAGGGUUCCUGUCCAACGUUAAUCGGGGCAGGGUGAGUCGACCCCUAAGGCGAGGCCGAAAGGCGUAGUCGAUGGGAAACGGGUUAAUAUUCCCGUACUUGGUGUUACUGCGAAGGGGGGACGGAGAAGGCUAUGUUGGCCGGGCGACGGUUGUCCCGGUUUAAGCGUGUAGGUGUGUGUUCCAGGUAAAUCCGGUUCACUUUAACACUGAGGCGUGAUGACGAGGCACUACGGUGCUGAAGCAACAAAUGCCCUGCUUCCAGGAAAAGCCUCUAAGCAUCAGGUAACAUCAAAUCGUACCCCAAACCGACACAGGUGGUCAGGUAGAGAAUACCAAGGCGCUUGAGAGAACUCGGGUGAAGGAACUAGGCAAAAUGGUGCCGUAACUUCGGGAGAAGGCACGCUGACACGUAGGUGAAGUGAUUUACUCAUGGAGCUGAAGUCAGUCGAAGAUACCAGCUGGCUGCAACUGUUUAUUAAAAACACAGCACUGUGCAAACACGAAAGUGGACGUAUACGGUGUGACGCCUGCCCGGUGCCGGAAGGUUAAUUGAUGGGGUCAGCGCAAGCGAAGCUCCUGAUCGAAGCCCCGGUAAACGGCGGCCGUAACUAUAACGGUCCUAAGGUAGCGAAAUUCCUUGUCGGGUAAGUUCCGACCUGCACGAAUGGCGUAAUGAUGGCCAGGCUGUCUCCACCCGAGACUCAGUGAAAUUGAACUCGCUGUGAAGAUGCAGUGUACCCGCGGCAAGACGGAAAGACCCCGUGAACCUUUACUAUAGCUUGACACUGAACAUUGAGCCUUGAUGUGUAGGAUAGGUGGGAGGCUUUGAAGUGUGGACGCCAGUCUGCAUGGAGCCGGCCUUGAAAUACCACCCUUUAAUGUUUGAUGUUCUAACGUGGACCCGUGAUCCGGGUUGCGGACAGUGUCUGGUGGGUAGUUUGACUGGGGCGGUCUCCUCCUAAAGAGUAACGGAGGAGCACGAAGGUUGGCUAAUCCUGGUCGGACAUCAGGAGGUUAGUGCAAUGGCAUAAGCCAGCUUGACUGCGAGCGUGACGGCGCGAGCAGGUGCGAAAGCAGGUCAUAGUGAUCCGGUGGUUCUGAAUGGAAGGGCCAUCGCUCAACGGAUAAAAGGUACUCCGGGGAUAACAGGCUGAUACCGCCCAAGAGUUCAUAUCGACGGCGGUGUUUGGCACCUCGAUGUCGGCUCAUCACAUCCUGGGGCUGAAGUAGGUCCCAAGGGUAUGGCUGUUCGCCAUUUAAAGUGGUACGCGAGCUGGGUUUAGAACGUCGUGAGACAGUUCGGUCCCUAUCUGCCGUGGGCGCUGGAGAACUGAGGGGGGCUGCUCCUAGUACGAGAGGACCGGAGUGGACGCAUCACUGGUGUUCGGGUUGUCAUGCCAAUGGCACUGCCCGGUAGCUAAAUGCGGAAGAGAUAAGUGCUGAAAGCAUCUAAGCACGAAACUUGCCCCGAGAUGAGUUCU